AUUGAACGCUGGCGGCAGGCCUAACACAUGCAAGUCGAGCGGAUGAAGGGAGCUUGCUCCUGGCUUCAGCGGCGGACGGGUGAGUAAUGCCUAGGAAUCUGCCUUGUAGUGGGGGAUAACGUCCGGAAACGGGCGCUAAUACCGCAUACGUCCUGAGGGAGAAAGUGGGGGAUCUUCGGACCUCACGCUAUCAGAUGACCCUAGGUCGGAUUAGCUAGUUGGUGGGGUAAAGGCCUACCAAGGCGACGAUCCGUAACUGGUCUGAGAGGAUGAUCAGUCACACUGGAACUGAGACACGGUCCAGACUCCUACGGGAGGCAGCAGUGGGGAAUAUUGGACAAUGGGCGAAAGCCUGAUCCAGCCAUGCCGCGUGUGUGAAGAAGGUCUUCGGAUUGUAAAGCACUUUAAGUUGGGAGGAAGGGCAGUAAGUUAAUACCUUGCUGUUUUGACGUUACCAACAGAAUAAGCACCGGCUAACUUCGUG
rnacentral:rRNA from 1 species